UAGGCUACUCUAUUGACCAAUUGCUUAAGUGACAGCCCGAGUCGAUUCAAAUGCUCAAUGUCACGUCCCUUGCCAAUAGGCUGAAAAUUCUGCCCAUCUCUAAGGGUCCGUGCGGCACUUAGCCUUCCCCCAAGGCUAAGUCAGCCUUUCACCCCAUCAACAGCUCCAUAUCAAACUGUACAUUCAGCCCUCAGAAUGGCACAACGGAAUGUUAAUAAUUGUGGCAACACAAUGAUAAUGGCAACACAAAUGGUGGAAGGAAAAAUAAAGAGCUUCAUUCACUCAAACAAUUGACAAUUACAAUACAAGCUUAACAUGUACAAAAGGGGGUACAAAGGUACAUUAUUAGGAAAGGGCUCUCACAGCUCACCACUUUCUCUGCUGGAGUGGUUAUUGCCCACUCAGCCUGUUGCUGCCUACUGCUUGGCUGGCUGGCUAGCCACUGAUGUUCCCCACUUGGCUAGCCAGCAGCAUUCUGCUCUUAGCCGGCAGAAUUGCUACUGCACACUCCUCACUGCUGGGAGACUCUCAAAAUAGGGAAGGGAGAUUCUGAGUUGGGAAGGAGCUUCUCUCUGGAAGGGCUUCUUCUUCUGGAAGGGCUUCUACCAUCUACCUGAGUUGCCCUAUUUAUAGGCAACUCCACCUCCUUAGCAUGUGGUGGGAAAUGCUUCACCAAUUUGUGGCCAGAAUUCUCCUUUCAAAAGUUUCAGGGACUAAACCGUAAUUUCAUACCCCUGGAGAAUUUCUAUUGGCCAACCAGCACGUGGAACCUAUGCUGCCUGCUGAGAACCUGUUGCCUUGCUGGUUCCUAAAAGCUUUUGGCCUGUUUUGGCAGACUCCAGCCUAUUUUGGGCGCUUCUGGCCUAUUCCAGAAAUUUCGUGGGCCAACCAGACCCCUCUGACUCCUCCGUAUGCCAACCAGACCUUUCUGGAAGUUUCGUUGGCCAGCCAGAGUCUGCUGGCUCCUUCCCACGUGUCCCAGGCUCUUCUAAAAUCCUUGUUGGCCAACCACGCUUCCACCAAUUUGUUGCAGACAAAAAAAAUCUAUGGUGUUAGGUAAUGUGUAAGUUGGUGUUUGUCUCGAGAAAUCACCAAAAAGGUAAGAUAAUGAGAGAAUUACUAAUUGAGAUAUGUGACGUUAUUUCGGUUUAGCGUGGAGUGAUUUAGCCUAUAGUUUGUGUGUUGAGUGUGAGCUCACCUUAUUCAGUAUUAUCCCUAUCAAAUAAGGAUGUUCGACUAUCAUACUAUCAAAUAAUAGUUAACUCAUCGUAAUUUUUUUCUCUCCUCUUAAAUUCCAAAGAUUUCAACCCACUAUUUUGAAUCCAAAAAUUUCUCUAGUUUUGGCAUCAAACUAGAAUUAAAAAUUGCUUCAUAAAAUAUUUAUAGUUUAAUGAAAUUAAGCAAAACAAAAUCUAAGAAUUGGAGGAUAUUGAAAAGGAUCUCUAGGAAUAUUUUCAUAAAUUUUGGAGAACUAGAAAGAAUUAUUUAGACUAACUAGAGUUUAGAGACCUGAGUUGAAAAUGAAGAUUUUAAUUUGCACUUAAGUUUCUAGUAGGCCCUAGAUGGGCAUUUUGAUAAUUGUUGUGGGUUCAAGACUACCGUGUUGCAAAUUUCUUCCUUCACAUGGGUUUUGAUUUGGUUACAAAGGAAACUCCAUUGAAAUUUCAGCAAAAUUCUAGGAUGUUAUUAUUACUUUUGUAAUUUAUAUAUUUCAUUUGUAGUGGAUUCAGUUCCUCCUUCCCUUUCAAAUUGCACAAAUCUGAAGACUUUGAAUUUGUCCUCCAAUAUGCUUACAGGAAAGGUCCCAAGAUCUUUUGGUGAACUCAGUAGCUUACAAAGAUUGGAUCUCUCCCAUAACCAUGGCACUGGGUGGAUCCUUCUGAGUUGGCAAAUGCAUGCGGUUCACUUGCAAAACAAAUGAGUAGCUGAUUACUUGUACUCUUGCAGCUGAUGGAAUAAUCCGUUGGAGGCGUUUAUUCGCCAGUUGCUUAUCCUGCCAAAAAAAAAAAAAAAAAUCCGAAGAAAAUGGAAAAUUUCCAAACAUUAUUCCACAAAUUCUGGUUGAGAAAAGUGAAAACUGAACCCUGCCCUGUCUGAUUAUUAGCUUUCCAAAGAUGAUUUUGCCUUCAAGCUAAACAAUAACUAGAUUUAAUAAAAUAAGUUCUGCAUUUAAAGAAAUACCUUAAGGGACUAAUGGAAAGGCCAUGAUGAAGUAUGACUAUCAAUCAACUGAGAAGCCCAUAGAAGGGAUGGGUCAGCAUCCUCUUUCACCUUUGGUUGCAGUUGAAAAGAAUUUUGUGACUAUCAUGCUUGCAUAAGAUAAAGUUGAGAUUCCACAGCAGAUACUUUAGGUACAAAUAAAUUAGAUACUAUAAUAACUUAAGAAUUUUAUGACACUUUUAAGUAAAUUAGAUAUUAGUUGUAAACUUGCCUUUACUGAAUCUCAAGAGCACUGGCCAGAACACGCAAAGCUCAGAUGCCUUGGCCCUCCCCCAUGGAUGCUUUCUCUUCUCACACUCCUCACUCAUAUUCUUCUCACCUUCUCCAUAUCAGCAGCGCAUAAAUGGAACACCUUGUGACAUGAAUGCAAAUGUCAGAGGGUGCAGAUAGCUCUGGACAAAGUUCACGUGGACAUGUUCGGCACUUGAGUGCCGAACAUGUCCUCCAUUUAAGGGGUGCAGACAAUUCUGCACCCUUUGUGACAUGAAUGCAAAUGUCAGAGGGUGCAGAAAUCUCUGCACCCGUGGGAAAUUUCACGUGGAAAUGUUCGGCACUUUGUGAGUGCCGAACAUGUCCUCCACACAAUCCUGCACCCUUUGUGACAUGAAUGCAAAUGUCAGAGGGUGCAGAGAUUUGAGUGCCCAACAUGAGCUCCACAUUUGCUCCCGCAACAACCCUCCCACCGCCGAACGGUCUGCAUUUAAAAUAAUUCGGCAGUAAAACUGCCGAACUAUACCCGCGGCCACCUCAAAUUGCUACCUUCUUAUUAUCCUAUCAAGUUUAUUUUCACUCUCGUCUCAAAUUGCUGCCUUCUUAUUAUCUCUAUUAUCAAUUUUAUUUUCACUCUCGUCUCAAAUUCACCUCAAAUUGCUCCGGAUAAGUAGAGAUGUCAAAUGCUAGCAAAAAUUGCCUCCACAAGAAAUGCCCAUCCAUGGAAGACGACUUAAAGAAGGCAGCAGAACAAGGCAUAUU
rnacentral:lncRNA from 1 species